rnacentral:rRNA from 1 species
AUUGAACGCUGGCGGCAUGCUUUACACAUGCAAGUCGAACGGUAACAGGGUGCUUGCACCGCUGACGAGUGGCGAACGGGUGAGUAAUGCGUCGGAACGUGCCGAGUAGUGGGGGAUAACGCAGCGAAAGUUGUGCUAAUACCGCAUACGUACUGAGGUAGAAAGUGGGGGACCUUCGGGCCUCACGCUAUUCGAGCGGCCGACGUCGGAUUAGCUAGUAGGUGAGGUAAAGGCUCACCUAGGCGACGAUCAGUAGCGGGUCUGAAGGGAUGAUCGGCCACACUGGGACUAAGAAACGGGCCAGACUCCUACGGGAGGCAGCAGUGGGGAAUUUUGGACAAUGGGCGAAAGCCUGAUCCAGCCAUGCCGCGUGUCUGAAGAAGGCCUUCGGGUUGUAAAGGACUGUUGUCAGGGAGGAAAUCCCUAGUGCUAAUAACACUGGGGGAUGACAGUACCUGAAGAAUAAGCACCGGCUAACUACGUGCCAGCCGCCGCCGUAA